GCACCGCUAGCUCAAUGGUAGAGCAGUUGACUCUUAAUCAAUUGGCUGAAGGUUCGAGUCCUUCGCGGUGCA
rnacentral:tRNA from 1 species